UCACAAUGGGCGAAAGCCUGAUGGAGCGACGCCGCGUGGAGGUUAAGGUCUUCGGAUUGUAAACUCCUGUCAUGCGAGAACAGAGCCCGCAAGGGUGUGAUAGUACCGCAAGAGGAAGAGACGGCUAACUCUGUG
rnacentral:rRNA from 1 species